AGCGAACGCUGGCGGCAUGCUUAAUACAUGCAAGUCGCGCGGUCAGCAAUGGCAGCGGCGGACGGGUGAGUAACGCGUGGGUAUCUGUCUCUGGGUGGGGGAUAACGGUGGGAAACUACCGCUAAUACCGCAUGACACCUGAGGGUCAAAGGCGCAAGCCGCCUGGAGAGGAGCCCGCGUACGAUUAGCUAGUUGGCGGGGUAAAGGCCCACCAAGGCGACGAUCGUUAGCUGGUCUGAGAGGAUGAUCAGCCACACUGGGACUGAGACACGGCCCAGACUCCUACGGGAGGCAGCAGUAGGGAAUAUUGGACAAUGGGCGAAAGCCUGAUCCAGCAAUGCCGCGUGAGUGAAGAAGGUCUUCGGAUUGUAAAGCUCUUUCGACG
rnacentral:rRNA from 1 species